rnacentral:rRNA from 1 species
UGCAAAGUCGAGCGGACAGAUGGGAGCUUGCUCCCUGAUGUUAGCGGCGGACGGGUGAGUAACACGUGGGUAACCUGCCUGUAAGACUGGGAUAACUCCGGGAAACCGGGGCUAAUACCGGAUGGUUGUUUGAACCGCAUGGUUCAAACAUAAAAGGUGGCUUCGGCUACCACUUACAGAUGGACCCGCGGCGCAUUAGCUAGUUGGUGAGGUAACGGCUCACCAAGGCAACGAUGCGUAGCCGACCUGAGAGGGUGAUCGGCCACACUGGGACUGAGACACGGCCCAGACUCCUACGGGAGGCAGCAGUAGGGAAUCUUCCGCAAUGGACGAAAGUCUGACGGAGCAACGCCGCGUGAGUGAUGAAGGUUUUCGGAUCGUAAAGCUCUGUUGUUAGGGAAGAACAAGUACCGUUCGAAUAGGGCGGUACCUUGACGGUACCUAACCAGAAAGCCACGGCUAACUACGUGCCAGCAGCCGCGGUAAUACGUAGGUGGCAAGCGUUGUCCGGAAUUAUUGGGCGUAAAGGGCUCGCAGGCGGUUUCUUAAGUCUGAUGUGAAAGCCCCCGGCUCAACCGGGGAGGGUCAUUGGAAACUGGGGAACUUGAGUGCAGAAGAGGAGAGUGGAAUUCCACGUGUAGCGGUGAAAUGCGUAGAGAUGUGGAGGAACACCAGUGGCGAAGGCGACUCUCUGGUCUGUAACUGACGCUGUUGAGCGAAAUCGUGGGGAGCGCCCAGGAUUAGCUACGGGGGUUUUCCACCCCGUUAAGA